AUUGAACGCUGGCGGCAGGCCUAACACAUGCAAGUCGAACGAGUGGCGGACGGGUGAGUACUGUCUGGGAAACUGCCCGAUGGAGGGGGAUAACUACUGGAAACGGUAGCUAAUACCGCAUACCAUCGGAUGUGCCAAGAUGGGAUUAGACAGUAGGUGGGGUAAAGGCUCCCCUAGGCGACGAUCCCUAUCUGGUCUGAGAGGAUGACCAGCCACACUGGAACUGAGACCCGGUCCAGAAGCCUACGUGAGUCAGCAUGGGGGAAUAUUGCACGAUGGGCUCAAUCCUGAUGCAGCCAUGCCGCGUGUAUGAAGAAGGCCUUCGGGUUGUAAAGUACGUUCAGCGGGGAGGCGUUACCCGCAGAAGAAGCACUGGCUAACUCCGUGCCAGCAGCCGCGGUAAUAC
rnacentral:rRNA from 1 species